AAUGAACGCUGGCGGCAUGCCUUACACAUGCAAGUCGAACGGACAGAUGACGUGGUUUGCCCGGUUGCUGGAGCGUGGCGCGGGGGAGAGACAUGCAUCGGAACGUGCUUUUUAGUGGGGGAAACCGUAGCGAACGUUACGCUAAUACGGCAAAUUUCUUGAGGCGGAAAGUUGGGGAGCUAAGGGCGUUGUGCCAGACGAGUGGCCGAUGUCGCAUUAGCUAGUUGGUGAGGUAAAGGCUCACCAAGGCAACGAUCCGUAGCGGGUCUGAGAGGGUGAUCCGCCACACUGGAACUGAGACACGGCCCAGACUCCUACGGGAGGCAGCAGUAGGGAAUUUUGGACAAUGGGCGCAAGCCUGAUCCAGCCAUGCCGCGUGAGUGAAGAAGGCCUUCGGGUCGUAAAGCUCUGUCGGCUGGGAAGAAAACGCACGCUCGAAUACAUGGAGUUGAUGACGGUACCAGCAUAGGAAGCACCGGCUAACUACGUG
rnacentral:rRNA from 1 species